GAUGAACGCUAGCGGCAGGCUUAAUACAUGCAAGUCGAGGGGCAGCAGUUUUGUAGCAAUACAGAAGCUGGCGACCGGCAAACGGGUGCGGAACACGUACGCAACCUUCCUUUAACUGGAAGAUAGCCCACCGAAAGGUGGAUUAAUACUCCAUAAUAUAUUGAAGAGGCAUCUUUUUGAUAUUAAAGCUCCGGCGGUUAAAGAUGGGCGUGCGUCUGAUUAGGUAGUUGGCGGGGUAACGGCCCACCAAGCCUUCGAUCAGUAGCUGAUGUGAGAGCAUGAUCAGCCACACGGGCACUGAGACACGGGCCCGACUCCUACGGGAGGCAGCAGUAAGGAAUAUUGGUCAAUGGACGCAAGUCUGAACCAGCCAUGCCGCGUGGAGGAUGAAGGCCCUCUGGGUUGUAAACUUCUUUUCUUUGGGACGAAACCCCUGUUUCUACGGGGACUGACGGUACCAGAGGAAUAAGCACCGGCUAACUCCGUGCCAGCCGCCGCAGUAACAC
rnacentral:rRNA from 1 species